rnacentral:sRNA from 1 species
AUUCUGCCCAUGCGGGGAAGGAUGAGAAGCUUCGACCAAGGUUCGACUCGAGCGCCAGCGAGAGAGCGUUGCCGCAGGCAACGACCCGAAGGGCGAAGCGCGCAGCGCUGAGUAAUCUCCCACACAUCAC